rnacentral:rRNA from 1 species
GUUUGAUCCUGGCUCAGGAUUAACGCUAGCGGCAGGCCUAAUACAUGCAAGUCGAGGGGCAGCAGGGUGUAGCAAUACAUCGCUGGCGACCGGCGCACGGGUGCGUAACACGUAUGCAACCUACCUUUAACUGGGGAAUAGCCCUCCGAAAGGAGGAUUAACACCGCAUAACAUCACGAGACGGCAUCGCCUUGUGAUCAAACCUCCGGGGGUUAAAGAUGGGCAUGCGUCCGAUUAGCUAGUUGGCGGGGUAACGGCCCACCAAGGCGACGAUCGGUAGGGGGUCUGAGAGGAUGAUCCCCCACACUGGUACUGAGACACGGACCAGACUCCUACGGGAGGCAGCAGUAAGGAAUAUUGGACAAUGGUCGCAAGACUGAUCCAGCCAUGCCGCGUGCAGGAUGAACGAUCUAUGAUCUGUAAACUGCUUUUGUUCGGGAAUAAACCCCUUCACGUGUGGAGGGCUGAAUGUACCGAAAGAAUAAGGGUCGGCUAACUUCGUGCCAGCAGCCGCGGUAAGACGAAGGACCCAAGCGUUAUCCGGAUUUAUUGGGUUUAAAGGGUGCGUAGGCGGGUUGUUAAGUCAGUGGUGAAAGCCUAGAGCUUAACUCUAGAAUUGCCAUUGAUACUGACGAUCUUGAGGAUAGUUGAGGUGGGCGGAAUGUAUCAUGUAGCGGUGAAAUGCUUAGAGAUGAUACAGAACACCGAUUGCGAAGGCAGCUCACUAAGCUAUUUCUGACGCUGAGGCACGAAAGCGUGGGGAUCAAACAGGAUUAGAUACCCUGGUAGUCCACGCCCUAAACGAUGAUUACUCGAUG